rnacentral:rRNA from 1 species
AUUGAACGCUGGCGGCAUGCUUUACACAUGCAAGUCGAACGGCAGCACGGGGGCAACCCUGGUGGCGAGUGGCGAACGGGUGAGUAAUAUAUCGGAACGUACCCGGAAAUGGGGGAUAACGUAGCGAAAGUUACGCUAAUACCGCAUAUGCCCUAAGGGGGAAAGCGGGGACUCGCAAGAACCUCGCGUUUUCGGAGCGGCCGAUAUCGGAUUAGCUAGUAGGUGAGGUAAAGGCUCACCUAGGCGACGAUCCGUAGCUGGUCUGAGAGGACGACCAGCCACACUGGAACUGAGACACGGUCCAGACUCCUACGGAGGCAGCAGUGGGAAUUUUGGACAAUGGGCGCAAGCCUGAUCCAGCCAUGCCGCGUGAGUGAAGAAGGCCU